rnacentral:piRNA from 1 species
UGUUUAUUCUUCUAAACUAUUUCCCAAGGA